UCUGCAGGGGGCUGGGCUCCGACGGACGGGGCUGGGGCCGGGCGCGCGGGCCGGGCUGGGGCGGUGGGUGUGGGCGCUCAAGGGCGGAGGGACCGCAGAGCGCGGGCAGAAACCCCGUGGGCGUGGGCGGCGCGUUGGCGAGCGCGGGAGAGCGGCGGUGCUGGCCCCCGCUGCAGGGCCCGUGCCUGCCCGGCUCCCCUUCUGACCCCGCCUGGGUCCUCGCGGGUGUGGUGGCUGUCUAAGGUGUCCCUUGCAGGGUGGUUCCCUUUUUGCCGGGGUCCAGUCAGAGCACACCUUCUGAGGAGGACGACGGGUAGGCUCGUGCGGGUGUUCAAAGACCUUGGGCCGCGCUCCCCGUGUUCGGGAGGCAACCCCCUCCUCCGCUGCCCUGCGUUCUUUGAGCCUUUGCUGCCGUCCAGCUGUGUCCUGCGGUGCAGGGUGCGGCCGGGGUGCCCAGCCCUCUUUGUGUCUGGCUGCCCGGGACCGAUUGUACCCGCAGAGCCCCCCAGACGUGGAGAGCGGGCCUAACGGGACAGGGGAAGAGUCAUUUGGGGGCAGGGAGAGAUGCCACCUCACCCCGCUGUCAAAGCCUCCAAGCGCCCUGUAGGUGUGGAGGCCUCAACCCGAUGUCACUAGCAAGCUUUCUAAAUUGUAGGGAUGCUUGUUUCAUUAGGCGCUUCUCUUUAAUUGCCCCCCACCUCCCCCCCGCCCCAAAAUUAUUUUGGGCCACAGAGCACAUUCCAACAGACUCUUGCCUCCGUGCAGUGCUCACUCAGGUGAAGCUGGUUUCUUACAUUACCUGUGACGUGCUGUAACCAAAGCCUUCAUCCUCGAAUUGCCAGAGCUAAGGAAUGAAAACAGGGGGUUAUAUUUGACAAAGCCUCUUUAUUUUUGUCAUUCCUUUGUCUUCCAGUGUGCAGGUAAUUUCGCUCUCCACCAACGGGAUCUUUUCUUUUGUAGCAAAGAAGAGAUCAUCCCUACUGGGCUUUGUCCUCAGCUUUUUCCUCCCUCCACUCUUCAGCCCAGGGGCCCCCAGGUGCUGAGCCAGGGGGGUGGGGGGAGGAAUCCUUCGCGAGUUUGUGGUCUGCGCUCCCGAAAUUAGAGGGCGGUGCCUUGUAGAAAAGCAAAGACGUACAAAUGGUGUCUUCACGUUCUUCUGGCAUUCCCUUCCUUUACACCUUUAAGUUCCCGGGCUUUUUCUUUGUGUUUUGUUUUGGGUUUGUAGCGAACACGGCAGAGUGACAGGGCUUGGAACUGUCUCGCUAGAUGCCACGCGCGCCCCGCGAGUCAUCAGCCGCCGUGUCAGCCGAGUUCUCGUUGUCAGAGCUUAAUUCCCGAUGAUGCUGUGACCAGGAACCACUCGCUCGUGAAAACUUACGCAGUGUGCAAAGCUGACCGAGAAACCAAGAUGUGAGACCAGAGACUAGGCUGAAGCUUUGGAAAACAGAAAAUGCCAAGAGAAAGAUUAGGAGCUUAAUCCAUCUCAGAAGAACAAAUGAUACAAAUAUAUCAACUCUGUUUAAUCCCGCUGUGCUUUGCCUAUAAUUGAUGUUGGAUGAAUAAUCACUGACCGCAGUGGAGGCCGCUGUGGUCCGCGGCCCCCAGCCCAGCGCCGCCAGCCCUCUUGCGGUAGCGCCGUCACUCAAAUAAUAAAAAGUAUAGUUCCAGACAGUGGGGCUGGAAGGAAAAGGCGUGUUUGCCUCAUCCCUACAACAGAGGUCUUGGUCUACUGAGCGGCUUGCACAUGACUCCGUCCACUGGCUGCCAUUGAUUCAACAGAAGCAAAGAGACAUUGUGAAAACCAGGUUCUAAGGUGAACUGACUCCUGCCCCAGUUUUCAUAGGCUCUGGAAACUAGAAAGUGUCAGGAAAAAGAUCAGGAAUUUAACAGACCUAAGAAGAACCAAAGGUACAAAUAUGUCAACCUUUAUUCCCUAUGUCUCAUGCCCCUUUCUGCCAGAAAGUGGGUAUGAUAUAUAUAUAUACACAAACAAAAAAUUUUAUAAUAUAAUUACAUAUUAUAAAAAUAAAAUAUAAAUAAAAUGUGUCCUAUAAUUAUUUACAUAAGUAAUAUAAAUUAUAUAUAUAAUAUAUGCUGUUAUAUAGAAUAUAUAUAAUUUCGUUAGAAAACAUAUUUUUAAAUGCAAACUCCCAUUACAUCGUAUUUGAACAAAUGAAAACACAGACCAGAUGAAGGGAACGUGGACUAUUAAAUGCUUUACGAGCACUAAGAACUGGAGAAACCAAGAGAAGUAAAUGUUGAGAAAUGUAUUGUUCAUGGGAAACCUGAAAGUGGAAUAUCUCAGGUCUUCCCCCCGGCCUCUCCUUUAUCCACUAGCGUCUCUGGAAAUCAAAAAUACCAAAUUAUAGGUGUUUGCUUUUGGAAAUGCAGUACAACUUAAACAUUUUUAAAAUAGCUGAUGUCUGCAAAGUCUUGUGGGAAGUGAAGAUCUUGGCCUGAGGCUUUGGUUAAGACGGUGUUUGUGCUCGAGGUACCGUUGCCACACACAUGCCCCUGCUCUAAAUACACACUGAUGAUAGAUGAAGGACAGAGAAAAUGUAAAAUUAGAGGGUACUUGAAACAACCAAACAUCCCUGAGGAUCCGCAUUGGACACAAGUGCACAGGAUGAGAAGGAGUUAGAGAAGCCAUCCUGCUGGACUUGGGGCCCAGAGCAGGCAGAUCCCACAAGGAGGUGGGGUCCUGUUGGGCAGUGGGGACUAAGAGCCCACAGGGAGGGGAGGAAACACGGAUCCAGCCUUCUGACCAGGAGCUGAGCUAAGCCAUACAUUGGUAUAUCCGGAUGCCUCCUGCCAGGACAACACUCCUUGCUCCAGGAUGAAGGCCCCACUUGGACCAGGUCAAUGCCUUCGUUAGCCAGAAGGAGGUGUGAGCAAAGAGGCACCGAGAGAGGGGGAGAAAGAAAGAGAGAUUGAGAGAAUCGCCACCUAGGAUGAGUUGACAAACCCAAAAUUCCAAAACACAUGCACAAACCAAAUGCUAACGUUACCGUCAAAAGCAAGAAUCGAAAGAUGAAUUCACUCCAGGCUAAAAUUAACAAGUCAGGAAACAACAGAUGUUGGCGAGGAUGUGGAGAAAGGGGAACCCUCUUACACUGUUGGUGGGAAAGCAAACUGGUGCAGCCACUCUGGAAAACAGUAUGGAGGUUCCUCAAAAAGUUAAAAAUAGAAGACAACCCAGCAAUUGAACUACUAGGUAUUUAUCCAGAGGAUACAAAAAUAGUGAUCCAAAGGGGCACCUGCACCCUAACGUUUAUAGCAGCAGUGUCCACAAUAGCCAAACUAUGGGAAAAGCCUAGAUGAUGUCCAUCAACAGACGAAUGGUUAAAGAAAAUGUGGUGUAUACACACACACACAAUGGAAUAUUACUCCACCAUCAAAAAGAAUGAAAUCUUGCCAUUUGCAACAACAUGGAUGGUAGAAGGUAUUAUGCUAAGCAAAAUAAGGCAAUCAGACAAAGACAAUUAUCAUAUGAUCUCACUAAUAUGUGGAAUUUAAGACAAAGCAGGUGAACAUAGGGGAAGGGAAGCAAAAAUAAGAUGAAAUCAGAGAGGGAGACAAUCCAUAAGGGACUCUUAACUAUAGAGAACAAAC